rnacentral:rRNA from 1 species
AACGAACGCUGGCGGCAUGCCUAACACAUGCAAGUCGAACGAGAUCUUCGGGUCUAGUGGCGCACGGGUGCGUAACGCGUGGGAACCUGCCCUUAGGUUCGGAAUAACUCCCCGAAAGGGGUGCUAAUACCGGAUAAUGUCUUCGGACCAAAGAUUUAUCGCCUUUGGAUGGGCCCGCGUUGGAUUAGCUAGUUGGUAGGGUAAAAGCCUACCAAGGCGACGAUCCAUAGCUGGUCUGAGAGGAUGAUCAGCCACACUGGGACUGAGACACGGCCCAGACUCCUACGGGAGGCAGCAGUGGGGAAUAUUGGACAAUGGGCGAAAGCCUGAUCCAGCAAUGCCGCGUGAGUGAUGAAGGCCUUAGGGUUGUAAAGCUCUUUUACCCGGGAUGAUAAGGACAGUACCGGGAGAAUAAACUCCGGCUAACUCCGU